GCAAAUUUCUGUAGUUAUAAGAAAUGUAUGUACUUGGUUUUUCCUUUAAAAACAUUAUACUUGGUUUUUCCUUUAAAUGAUUUUGUUUUAAUUAUAGAUUGGGGCUCCAUUUACUUUUCAUAGCUUACAAAAGGCAAAACAAAAAAACAAAAAAUUGUCGGAGCCAUCCAUCAAUUUUCGUAGAAAGGGAAGGGGCAAGGUCUCGAUGAAGCCAUCCAUCAUCGGAGCUCCGAUCGUCUUCCCCGAGAACAGAUCCUACUACUCCACCAGCUACAUCGAUCUAUGAUAAAGCCAAUCUCAUUUCUUUUUUUAUUCCAAGCUAAUUAUUACUUCCACUUUGAGCUUUGAAUUUCUUCAAUGGCGAGGAAACAGCUCCAAUUUGAGUAGCCUCUACGAUCUAUCACCGUAGCAGAAGUAACCGUAUUGAGCCGGGAACUGCAUGGGCUAUAGAGAUGAAAAUGUAAAGCAGUUUUUCAAGAAAUAAUUAAGCGAAGACGACAAUGCUAGCGAUCACUUAGAGAUUCCCAGGACAUUAGCGCACUAUUUACAGAGUUUGAUACUGCAACAUUGCGUUAAUCAUGGGUUUUAAUGGAGUCGCUUGAGGACCAUGAAGCAUGGUAGAUGUGUUCUUGGGGUUUCUUCCUAUAUCCAGAUUAGGUUUGUUUGAGAUUCCUGUCUACAUUGGAAGCUGGUUGGUUCUCUCGACAUGCCCAAGACAACUUUUGCCGAAGCUGAAGUUAGUGUCAUCAACCAACCUGGAUGUUGCUGUGGUGGGAACGGAGAUGCUCUACUACUGAAUCAAGUGUUCUGUUGAAUUUUCGGAUUCUUGUCCCACCUGAUUAUCUUCACUUGAAGUUCUUGUUUUCUAUCUUUCUUUACUUGGAAUAUACAGUGAGUAAAACCCAAUUUUCAGUGGUGUUUGCCUUGAUAGGAUUACUGGUCGAUUAGCUGCUUCUCUUAUAUUGUGAUAUUUAUUUGUUUGGAAGCUCACAACAACACUUUUUAGCAAUUCUGGUUGGGUUGUUGAAGCUACCCGGGGCAUAAUUGAAGUGAUUUGCUGCUGUCCAGAGCUACAUACUAUUUAGCAUGUUAUUGCUGAGUGAAAACAUCACAGGUCUCCUACUUGCAAUAGGGAUCUUUGAUCUACAUAUUUUCUUGCUAUAUUGUUUAUUGUUUUAGAAGCUGAAUAUGACCUUCUCUAAAGGUGAUGGUUAUAGUUCAUUAUUAUACCUAAUUUUGAGAUGUUAUCACUGUGUAGGCACAAUUGUGAGGAUACUUGCUAUCUUGUGCUAGGUAGAUUGUGCAGGAGUGUUUAAAUAGUUGCUGAAGAUUUACUACAAGGAAAUGUUGUCAUCUUUGAUGCCUGUGUUAACUUGCUCAAGAAUUGUUAUUCAUUAUUCAUCUUCACUGAAGAUUUACUACAAGGAUAUUUUAUCAUCUUGAUACUUGUGAUUA